rnacentral:misc_RNA from 1 species
UGCCGUUCAGCCUCCACAAGUUGCGACGUCGGAGGAAAGCCUAACAACGGCAGAGGGAGCGCCGGAGGAGCGGGUGUCUCUCACGUACCUUGCCGUAGUUGGCGAAGUUGGUCCUGAGGAUGUGCUCGACCACGGCGGGGUCGCACGUGUAUAUCUGCCGCCGGCCGGCCGGCACCAGCAGCUGGAAGGUCUUGCGCUCCCGGAACAGGUCCGUGUGGUAGUCGUGCAGCCGCCGGACGUGGUACAGCUGGUGGAACACCGUCCCCACCACCGGCGCGUACCGCUUCGGCGCCUUGCCGCCGCCGCCGCCGCGGCGCCGCCCGACGAGCAGGUAGUACGAGCAGACCGCGAGCAGCGCGAGGCCGGCGGCGGCGGCGGCGGCGGCGGCCAGAGCCGUGGAGGUGUCGUAGUAGUCUUGUGCUUCUCCCAUGGCUGCUGCCAGGCUAGAGAAUUUCGGCUGGCUAACCAAAGAGUAUCAUUUGGCUGUGGCUCCGGCUCUUAUGAGAUGGUUGUUGUAUAUAUAUAGAAGUGAUCGCCUCUCUCACUCGUUCUCAAUUCGUCAUCGUGUCGUUAGCUCCACCCCACAACCUCCAAAAGAAAGCAUAUUUUGAAGUCAUCCCAUAGCAACCCCCAACAUUAUUUAUUUUUCCACGCUACUAUAUAUGUUACGUGAGCAUGAC